rnacentral:rRNA from 1 species
UACGUAGGGUGCGAGCGUUGUCCGGAAUUAUUGGGCGUAAAGGGCUCGUAGGCGGUUUGUCGCGUCGGGAGUGAAAACCUCGGGCUUAACUCGGGGCUUGCUUUCGAUACGGGCAGACUGGAGGUAUGCAGGGGAGAACGGAAUUCCUGGUGGUAGCGGUGAAUGCGCAGAUAUCAGGAGGAACACCAAUAGCGAAGGCAGCUCGCUGGGACGGUAUUGACGCUAAGGCGCGAAAGCGUGGGGAGCAAACAGGG